rnacentral:rRNA from 1 species
UACAGAGGGGGCAAGCGUUGUUCGGAAUUACUGGGCGUAAAGGGCGCGUAGGCGGCCUUCUAAGUCGAACGUGAAAUCCCUGGGCUCAACCCAGGAACUGCGUCCGAUACUGGAAGGCUUGAAUCCGGGAGAGGGAUGCGGAAUUCCAGGUGUAGCGGUGAAAUGCGUAGAUAUCUGGAGGAACACCGGUGGCGAAGACGGCAUCCUGGACCGGCAUUGACGCUGAGGCGCGAAAGCCAGGGGAGCAAACGGG